rnacentral:rRNA from 1 species
GGGAAACGGUAGCUAAUACCGCAUAACGUCGCAAGACCAAAGAGGGGGACCUUCGGGCCUCUUGCCAUCGGAUGAGCCCAGAUGGGAUUAGCUAGUAGGUGGGGUAACGGCUCACCUAGGCGACGAUCCCUAGCUGGUCUGAGAGGAUGACCAGCCACACUGGAACUGAGACACGGUCCAGACUCCUACGGGAGGCAGCAGUGGGGAAUAUUGCACAAUGGGCGCAAGCCUGAUGCAGCCAUGCCGCGUGUAUGAAGAAGGCCUUCGGGUUGUAAAGUACUUUCAGCGGGGAGGAAGGGAGUAAAGUUAAUACCUUUGCUCAUUGACGUUACCCGCAGAAGAAGCACCGGCUAACUCCGUGCCAGCAGCCGCGGUAAUACGGAGGGUGCAAGCGUUAAUCGGAAUUACUGGGCGUAAAGCGCACGCAGGCGGUUUGUUAAGUCAGAUGUGAAAUCCCCGGGCUCAACCUGGGAACUGCAUCUGAUACUGGCAAGCUUGAGUCUCGUAGAGGGGGGUAGAAUUCCAGGUGUAGCGGUGAAAUGCGUAGAGAUCUGGAGGAAUACCGGUGGCGAAGGCGGCCCCCUGGACGAAGACUGACGCUCAGGUGCGAAAGCGUGGGGGGCAAACAGGAUUAGAUACCCUGGUAGUCCACGCCGUAAACGAUGUCGACUUGGAGGUUGUGCCCUUGAGGCGUGGCUUCCGGAGCUAACGCGUUAAGUCGACCGCCUGGGGAGUACGGCCGCAAGGUUAAAACUCAAAUGAAUUGACGGGGGCCCGCACAAGCGGUGGAGCAUGUGGUUUAAUUCGAUGCAACGCGAAGAACCUUACCUGGUCUUGACAUCCACGGAAGUUUUCAGAGAUGAGAAUGUGCCUUCGGGAACCGUGAGACAGGUGCUGCAUGGCUGUCGUCAGCUCGUGUUGUGAAAUGUUGGGUUAAGUCCCGCAACGAGCGCAACCCUUCCUUUGUUGCCAGCGGUCCGGCCGGGAACUCAAAGGAGACUGCCAGUGAUAAACUGGAGGAAGGUGGGGAUGACGUCAAGUCAUCAUGGCCCUUACGACCAGGGCUACACACGUGCUACAAUGGCGCAUACAAAGAGAAGCGACCUCGCGAGAGCAAGCGGACCUCAUAAAGUGCGUCGUAGUCCGGAUUGGAGUCUGCAACUCGACUCCAUGAAGUCGGAAUCGCUAGUAAUCGUGGAUCAGAAUGCCACGGUGAAUACGUUCCCGGGCCUUGUACACACCGCCCGUCACACCAUGGGAGUGGGUUGCAAAAGAAGUAGGUAGCUUAACCUUCGGGAGGGCGCUUACCACUUUGUGAUUCAUGACUGGGGUGAAGUCGGAACAAGGUAACCGUAGGGGAACCUGCGGUUG